UACGUAGGUGGCAAGCGUUGUCCGGAUUUACUGGGCGUAAAGAGCGCGCAGGCGGUCGUGCAAGUCGCGUGUGAAAGCCCCCGGCUCAACUGGGGAGGGUCGUGCGAUACGGUCGGGCUUGAGGCCAGUAGGGGGGAUGCGGAAUUCCGGGUGUAGUGGUGGAAUGCGUAGAGAUCCGGAGGAACACCAGCGGCGAAGGCGGCAUCCUGGACUGGUCCUGACGCUCAGGAGCGAAAGCGUGGGGAGCGAGUCCGG
rnacentral:rRNA from 1 species